GGAAGUGAAAGUCGUAACAAGGUUUCCGUAGGUGAACCUGCGGAAGGAUCAUUAUUGUAUAACCGAGGUGCGAGGGCUGUCGCUGACCCGAAAGGUCGUGCACGCCCGAGUGCCCUCACACACAUCCAUCUCACCCCUAUGUGCACCACCGCGUGGGUCCCCCUUUGGCUUGUUCGGAGGGGGGCUUACGUUUUCACACAAACUUUGUAUGCAGUGUAGAAUGUAUUUUUUGUUUUUGCGAUCACCCAAUCAAUACAACUUUCAACAACGGAUCUCUUGGCUCUC
rnacentral:misc_RNA from 1 species